rnacentral:rRNA from 1 species
GUCCUAGUUACCAGCACGUUAUGUGGGCACUCUAAGGAGACUGCCGGUGACAACCGGAGGAAGGUGGGGAUGACGUCAAGUCAUCAUGGCCCUUACGGCCUGGGCUACACACGUGCUACAAUGGUCGGUACAAAGGGUUGCCAAGUCGCGAGGUGGAGCUAAUCCCAUAAAACCGAUCGUAGUCCGGAUCGCAGUCUGCAACUCGACUGCGUGAAGUCGGAAUCGCUAGUAAUCGUGAAUCAGAAUGUCACGGUGAAUACGUUCCCGGGCCUU